GCUGCUACCUGGGCGGGGAUGUUAAGGAUUAGGCCCUGCCUGAGACAGCUUCUGAAAUAUGGAUAGGACCUGAGCAGGAAAAGUGUUCCAGCCAGAACCAUGGAGUGAGGGUGGGAGAGCAUGAUAGGUGCAGGCAACAUUGAAGUAGCACCUACUUUGUGCCAGCCGCCCUUCUAUGUGCACUUACGUAUCAUUUCAUUCCCAUGUCAACCCUAUGAUGUGGGUGCUGUUAAAAUCCUCCCAUUUUCCAGAGGAGGACGCUGAGGCACAGAAGGGUAAGCAGCAAAGCCAGGGCUGAACCCACACAGGGCUGGUGUAUAUGUGGACAGAUAAUGAGAAGUUUUAGCACAUGAGUUUGAAGAUGUUGGGGCUGAUCACAGAAGAGCCUUCAAGGCAGAGCCAAGUCAUUACCCAGCCGGAACCAAGAUGAAGUCUCUUGUGUAUCCUUCCAAAAUUGUUCUGUCCCCACAAAGAAACCAGAAAAUAAAGCUGUCAACAACAAACUCUCUUCCAGCAAGAUGGAAGUGCAUAAACCUCAGAGAUGUUCGAAGGCCUUUCUUCUUUUCUUGCUGGGAAAAGCUCUCCUCUCACCAGGAAGGUUGUGGAUGGUGCCAAUCGGGAGUGAUGAUCAUCACAGAUGGGCAGGCCUUGAACCUCCACAUCUGGAGGUCAAACUGGACCAAAGGUCGAGGAGCCAGGAGGCACACAGGCUCCCAAAUGAGCUUGGACAUGAGCACCAGGCCCUAGAAAUUUCUAGACAAUCACUAGAAGGUAGGGGCCAGAAGAGUCAUACAAAUGGAUUAUCAGAGGGAUCCCUGGGUGGCGCAGCGGUUUGGCGCCUGCCUUUGGCCCAGGGCGCGAUCCUGGAGACCCGGGAUCAAAUCCCACAUCAGGGGAUCCCUGGGUGGCGCAGCGGUUUGGCGCCUGCCUUUGGCCCAGGGCGCGAUCCUGGAGACCCGGGAUCGAAUCCCACAUGGGGCUCCCGGUGCAUGGAGCCUGCUUCUCCCUCUGCCUGUGUCUCUGCGCCUCUCUCUCUCUCUGUGACUAUCAUAAAUAAAUAA
rnacentral:lncRNA from 1 species